rnacentral:rRNA from 1 species
CACACCGCCCGUCGCUCCUACCGAUUGAAUGGUCCGGUGAAGUGUUCGGAUUUAGACGACGUGGGCGGUUCGCUGCCCGCGACGUGGUGAGAAGUCCACUGAACCUUAUCAUUUAGAGGAAGGAGAAGUCGUACCAAGGUUUCCCUAGGUGAACCUGCGGAAGGAUCAUU